rnacentral:lncRNA from 1 species
GAAAUAGUGGGUUCCUUCGUUUCUAUGGUUACUUCUUAAACGGUGAGGUCUUCUCUAUACACCGGAGCCUUUACUUUAUACUUUAAUUUACUAUUUAAUCAACUAAUUGAUGUUAUUGGGAACUUGUAUAGUUCACACGCUUUGGCUCUACCCAUGAAUUAUCCAGUAAUAGGUCUUUCACAAUCAGAUCUACCUAUACAGUAACGGUAUUUAAUUAUGAAAGUUUGCUGGGUAGCUGACCCUCUUAGUCCGUUUAAAUAAGAUUUCCUCCGCUUAAUGGAUAACCAUUUGUUACCAAUGGAGAAUUUCUUAUCAUCUUAAAUUCAGGUGAUUGGAUUUACACCAACGGAAACCAUAAACUUCAUACACAAUAGAGGGAUAUGGUAGAGUUUUUUUUUUUAAUAAUGGAUGGAGUUCCUUUUUCCAUCCUAUCCCAUUCACCGGUACUGAUCAUUGAUACUGUAAAAGUAGUUUUCUUGCUUUUGUGCCAGCUCAUGAUCUAAACGAGUCGCACAUACACCCUAGUACAUGUUCCUCGACGCUGAGGGCACCCCCGAAGAGCGGGGGAUUUCGUGACAUUUCUGAUUGGCUGUCUUGUAUUUCUAAUAAGUUGUUUAAUAGUUGGCAUGUUGAAUCGUAUACAUAAUAUGAUGGGUUGGUUUAGAUUGAUCCUAACCGAAUGAUGGUGAAUUACUUCUAUUUAAUAGAAUAUUCAAUUCGAAGAUAAAAUCUCAAAUCACAGAUUUGCGCGAAAUCCAUGUUAUUUUCCUUGAACCGCUACAAAAUCAACAAUUCCAUAAGCUUGGGCUUCUGUUGCUGACAUAAAAAUAUCUCUUUCCAUAUCUUCGUGUACAACCCAGAAGGGUUUGCCCGUUCUUUCUGCAUAAACCCUUGUGAGGGUUUCACGCAGUUUCAUCAGUUCUACCGCUUCCAUGACAAAUUCGCCUACUUGUGCCAUAUAAAAAGCACUAUAAGGUUCAUGUAUCAUUACCCUGAUGAUAUAACAAAAUAAAAGCUUCCCCUAUCUCGCAUGAUAAAGCAAAGAGAAAAGAAAGAUAAAGAAUAGAAAAAAGAUAGAAUUGAACAACCGUACAGGCAUCUUUUGUGCAUACGGCUCUACAAGAAAAUUUACCCCCCUCCUUUCUAUUGAAGAAAGAGAAAAUAGAAUCUAUCAGACUCAGAUGGGUAAAUAAUCAAAUUGCCAUCCUUCCUUUCGGAGGAGUUCAAAAAUACUAUGAUGGCUCCGUUGCUUUAUAUGUUUAUUUUUUAUUUUUUUUGUCUGUGAUUCAGCAAUCCCAAAGUUUCUUUUUAAUCCGAUCAAAUAAGGAAAAAAUAUUUUUUUUUCGUACUCUUUCAUAACAUAAAUAUUUGGAGAAUGAGUCUUUCAUUGAUGUAGUUAGACAGAAUUGGAAGAUUUGGAAGUAGUAUUGAGCAUUGAGUUGAGUGAUGGCUAAGAUAACCCAAACCCCAUAAUUGAGCAUCUAGCGUAGGAUAAGAUUGUGUCAUUGAUUUGGGUAACUCAUCAUAAAGCCCCUGGUAAGGGCCUAGAUAUUGGAUCCAUUAGUUCAAUUCGUCCUUUACCCUAACAAAGUGUUGGAUGACUCUGGCAAUGUGGGCAAGACGUUGUAUCAUUUUGAGGCUAAUACUGAUGGUUGUCAGUUAGAGAAACUCCCAAGAAAAGUAAAGUAUACUAUUUUAGCAUUUUAUAUCAUUGCAUAUAUCUAAGUUGUAAAUCUUUAUUGUUUUCAAUGCAUUGGCAUGCUUUACUUUACACAAUUAUCCAAUAUUCAUUCAUUCUCUGAGUUGUUCCUCAAUUAUGUAUGUUCAGUCUAACAAGUGUUUCAUUCAACUAUUUUACAUGCCAUACAUUUCAUGUUUUAACGCCAUUUGGUGCUAUAUCUUCUAAUGAUACAAAUACAUAAACUCAUAAUCGAUAGAAGACGCUUCACUGAGAUCCUCUCCAUCAGAUUUCGGUGAGACUUCGCUCCUAUCGGAGGGCUCCAGAUCAGUUAUUUAUUUCAUCAUUUAGUAGACAUUCUAAUUUAUUAUUCAGAUAGUCGUGGAUCUUGUCCCAUAACCUAUGUUAGUUCAGCAGAGGCUUCAUAGACAAGUUAGUGAGUUAGUUAUAUCUUGAUCUUCAGAUAUUUUAAACAUUAUUAUUAUGAUGAUUGAUACUUAUAUUUAAGAUUUUUCAUAAAACAUGUUCAGAUGUGUGAAUGUUUAUCACUUUUAAAGUUUCCACAUAAGUGUUUAGCCUUACGUUUAGUAGUAAGUCAGACCAAGGAUUUACUUGGGACCAGUAAUGAUAUCCGACUGUCAGCCACACCUAGGAUAUAGGCUCGGGGAGUGACAGAACUGGUCGAUGAACUAAAGUUUUCUUUUGUUCAAACAGACAUGCAGAGGAGUACCAGAUCUAAACAUAACCUCACUAAAAUAAGUAAUCUUUUUGUGAAUUUGAGUUUUGAUGGUGGUAUUAAAAAAAAAUUGAAUUUCAAUCCAUAGAGUUCAGAUCUAUAAAUGAAAAAUUGAUUUUACCUGUGAUUUCCUUUGCAGCAUCCCAAUCAUAAGCUUCUGAGAUCAAAAAGAUCGAUCUUUGCGGUGAACAUAUUCAUGGAUAAGAAUCUAUGCAAGAAAGUUAACUUAUAAGACUAGAUCUAAGUAUUUCAAGAGAAUGAAGAUGAAGGUUUAGGAAGGAUAGAAAUACUUAGCUUGAAAGAUGUAGUUGAAACAACGUCACCUCAUGAAGCUUAUCUACGACUUGUUCAAUGUAAGAUUUUUUUUUAUUCGAGGUAGCAGAGCGUUGUAGAGGAGUUUAAUUGGCUAAAGAUAAAGGCGAUUGACGGCGCCUCUUCAUCUUCUUCCGAUGAAGGCGAUUGACGGCGCCUCUUCAUCUUCCUCCGAUGAAGGCGAUUGACGACGCCUUUUCGUAUUCCUCCGAUGAAAUCGAUUGACAACGCCUCUUCAUCUUCCUCCGAUGAAGGCGAUUGACGACGCCUCUUCAUUUUCCUCCGAUGAAGGAAAUUGACGGCGCCUCUUCAUCUAGAUAUUUCCUUUUCUCUUUAGGUUUUAUUUUAUAUUGUUUUUCUAUUUACUUUAAUGGACUAGGUCUCUUUAUUGGGCCAGAUUGUGUACAAAAUUGUUUUGGAAAUAAAAGAGUCUUUAAGCCUCAAACCAUUUUUUCUAAAAGAAAGGGAAAACUACACUAAUUGGCCACAAAUACAAACCAAUUACCAUCCCAUAGUCCACCCUUAAGUAAUUCCCUAAAUGUCCAUUUUACCAAAGUUAUUAUAGAGUAUGUCCCUUUCCUAGCCAGGCCUAAUUCACCUUUAUGAUAUCAUCACAAUAUAUAUAUUUUUAUAUAUAUAUAUAUAUAUACACACACACACUAUGAUGGUAUCAUUCAGUAUUUGUGUAAUUCUUUCCUAAAUGUUUGUUAUGGUAUCAUUGAGAAUAUCAGAAGUGUCUCACUAAGGAUUGAGGAUUGAUUUGGUGAAACAAUGGUUGUUCCUCAAUUAUAUAAUUUCAAUAUCUUGAUAAUAAAUAAAUAUAUUGUGGUAGUAUCAUUCAUGUACCAUCGAAUGACUUAGAAAAACCUUUUAAUUGAUACUAUCACAGUGUGUGUGUAUAUAUAUAUAUAUAUAUAUAUACACACACACUAUGACGGUAUCAUUCAUUAUUUGUGCAAUUUUUAUGUUAUGCAAUAAAUUGUUAUGGUAUCAUUAAAGAAUAUGACGGUAUAAAGCUAAUUAUUGCAAAUCGUUUGAAAUUAAAGAAGUUAGAUGAUUAGUCUAUAUUGUGGAGGACUAAAAUUGGGUAUCAACAAUAUUCAAAGACCAAAAGCUUCUCCUCUUUCCUAUAGUAAAAAGUUAUAAUAGGAAGGAAGUUCUUAUGGUUCGGUUAGCCUAAACUCAUGGGAAUUUUAUUCAAAUUAAAUUGCAAACCAUACAUUUGUAUAUCCGCUCUCUUAAUUAGACAUUGAUUUAAAGUCCACUAAGCUAAACAUAAUCGUACAAAAUAAUCUUGAAGGUGGGUGAUCUUGAACUUUUGAACCUACAUGCUACAUAGCCAAAACUUGCGCAUGGAUCAACCGAGGAUCAAAAUUUCGAAAUCACCAAUUUUCAAAAAUUUUUGGUGUCUCCACAAAAUCUUUCAAAAAUAAUCAAAUCAUACGAUUAAAAUAAUAAUACACAUUAACUAAAUAGAAAUCGAAAGCAACAAUGCUAAGAAAAAUCCAAUAAUCCAAUGUGGGCAAAAUGAACCAAAAGUGGAGUAUCCACCAAUAUCAUUCUAUUGACGGUGUGUGUAAACAGUACUUGACCCAUUAUAAUUUGGGUUUGACCCGUAUAACAUUUGUACCCCUUCAAUAUCAUCUCUUGAUAACUCCACUUUCCUCGUUCCAUCCUCAAUCGUUGGAAACAUAAUUGCUUCUUUUUCGGACAAAUGAUCCAAACCCAAUAAGUGCCCGAUUUCAUGAACCGCAACUGAUUCAAGAUCCACCAUCCCUUCUUUCAAAUACUCGCCGUCAACCACCCAAUUCUCCUCGCCGUCUAAGUGGAAAAACCUUGUUGGAGGUGCAAACGCGUGUGCCAAAAUCUUCAUGGGUCCAUCAAACGGGUUACCAUCACCAUGGUCUCUGACAAAAAACCUGAUCCGAAUAUCCACCAAUCUAUAAGAAUCCAUCUCUUUGAAAGUUAACGGAGUUACUUUCGACCAUUUAUCAAACGCCCUCCUAAAAGCCACCUUAACAGAAUCCGUCAACUGAUUCUCCGGUAGAAAUGCAUACUUUAAUUUACUCUUACUCGAAGGCCAACGUGGUUGGCCUUCGAAAAAUGAGAAAUGAGCCACCGUAUGAUCCGUUGGAGUUUUGCCGGAGUUCAUAUGAGUAGUGCCAUUUACUAUAUCUGGAUUUCCACAUCUUGGCUUUACCAUAUGUUGAAGAGUGGGGAUGUCGAAUUCUCCGGUGAUGUUAAGAUUAAAGUUCAAUUGAUAAGUCUUGAGAGCUGAAAAAAGAAGUUGAUCAAAUUCAUCUGUAAAAUCAUUGCUCAAAGAAUUAUCAAUAUACCCGAAAUGUUUAAAAUACUGUUUGAUUUUAGCUAAUCCUUUGAUUUUUUGGCCAACGCGGCAACCCAAGUACUUGUUGAAAUGGUUCCAGGUAGAAUUACUAGGAAUUAAAGAACGAGGAAUUGUUGAAACGUUAUUGUAAAAAUGAGCAGAAACAGGGGAAGAAUGAGCAGAAACAGGGGCAGAUGAAGCAACGAUUAUUAAAGCAACAAUAUUAACGAGGGAGAAUAAAAAAAUUCUCAUUUCGAGUUUGCGAAAUGAGUAGGAACUAAUUUUGUUGAUGGACUAGAUUCGAAGCUUUUCGUUACAUAUAUCUAAGAUUCGAAGAUUUUCGUUACAUAUAUCUAUAAUUUUUUAUCUUUUUGUUGUUGUAGAAAACAAGAAAUGCCGGCAUGGAAAUGAGACAAUGAGAAGGUGAAGGUCAUCGUCAAGAAAUUGUUUUUCUUAACAUUUUGUAAAAUUAGUUUGAAUGGAUUUCUAGAGUUCUUUUUUCCCCUAAAAAUAAUAAAUUUAUUGUUUCUUAUCUAAAGAAAAGCAUAGCUAAAAUAUAAGAAAAUAUGGCCAAUUUUUUUAUUUUUUAAAUUACUAAGUUGUAUACUGUAAAUUUAAAAUUCAUCAACAAUAUUGUUGUUAACUAUAGAUAGAACUACUGUGAGCAGUCUAACGCGCAUUCCAUCACUCGGAUGUCAAAUGAAAUAUGUUAAAUUUUCGGAUGCUUUCUCACUCUUGUACUGCGUCUCACGCUUUCUGUUACUUGGGGAAUGCCUGCGUUGGUGUUCAUAAUAGGCAAGUACCAAUGGAGCUCCAAGCUAAGUCGAUGGGUGCCUUAUUUUGUAGUUGUAGUUGAUUCGAGGAUCUCAAACCUUUUCAAGGCAUUGCGCCAAUACACGUAAUCACUAGAUUUAUAAUGCUUGCUGCGAUUUGUUUUCUGGCCUUUCAACUCGUCCAAUAGAACCUACAAAAUUCGUAAGUGCAAUGGAAAAAGGGAGAAAGAGAUCAGUAAAGCUAGGAAUAUACUAAUUAAGUGAAGGAAUGAAAGUCAUAACAUUGCAAAAUACCUGUAUAAAGUUACAACUUUGAGCAUCCGAAUCCACUCUCACUAGCAAAGUCCGCGGAUGAAAGUAACUAAACAAUUUAUCAAUCAAAGUUUCAUAUCUUGGUACAAGCGAAGAGAGUACUUCCAAAGUCAUGUGCUUGAUACAAAGUGGUCCAAUGUUGUUACAAAUAUUUUUCGAACGAGAGUUUACUUCCUUCAUAGACAAUGAAACUUGAUAUUCAACAAAAAUUGUUAGGAAAUUGAAUAGAUAACACCAAGAUAUAACGAGUAAACACCAAGAUAAUUUAGUACAUAUAUACCUUUAAUUAAGUUGUGCCAUAGGACAACGAGAUAUUUCCAGCAACAACUCUCAACUCAAGCAAGCUAUUGGUUGUUCGAGCAUUCUUCAAUCCAAUCUCAACUUCCAUUAGCCUUGAACCAACUACAGGACACCAGCUUGGAACUUUUUCCAUAUCUAUUAGCUUGAACGGACAUAAAUUAUGAGUAUCAAUGAUAGCUUCAUCCAAGUCACGCAUGUCACUUAAGGUCAAAUUCUCAAGCUCAUAACUUAGAAGAUUGAUCUUUUCCAUAUUUUUGAAUAAACGAAGAGAUAAAGAUUUUAGACACGGGAAUUCCGAGGAAAUAUCUUCAGGAAAUCCAUUGGGAAUGUAUUGACAAUCUAAUUCCAUGAUUUGUAGCUUAGUACAAGCGCGCAAAUCAAUUUCCACUGACAAUGAUGAAUUAAACAAGUGAAACUCCGUCAGAUUUUGAGCUUUUAUUUCUAUUUUUUCUAAAUAUCUAUUAUCAUAAUUCACAUGAACCUUCCUAAGUUGAUCUUGAUGAGGCACUGAAAUUAGAAAAAGGUAGCAACAACGUAUCAAACUUAACUCAACAAUCGAAGGACACUUACGAAUAAGUUUGAGGAGAGUUAAAGGAUUGAUAUGAACACGAUUAAAACAGAUCUCUUUCAUACUAGGAAACCAACUAAAAUUGUUCUCAUUAAUAGUGCAACAUUUUAAAUGCAGAACGGUUAAUAAUAUCGAUUCGAGUUUUUUGAACGAAAAAUUAAAAAUACCAGAAUCUGGUACAAGAAAAUAAAACUCUGUUAAAUUAGUAUUGUUAGUAGCAAAUUUGACAACAGGGUGAUAUUUAACAAAGUUUCUAGAAGAUUUAGCACGUGAAUAUCUGCUUGCACAUUGUAUCUGUACAAAUUUACGAUCGUCCAAUGAUUUUAUCAUCUGAUGCCACUUUUUCGAAACUAUACAAGUUGUUGCUCUCUAUUUCAGAUUUAGAUCAUUCGAUAACUCGGAAAAUAUUCCUUUAGACGCCAUAGAUUUGUGAUAAAAUUAUGUUGAGCGCUUUGGCGUACAUAAGAUUUUCUAAACUCUAACUCUGUUUACCUUAUUCUAACUAGUAUACUUACCCGCGCGAUGCGCAGUCAUUUUUACUUAAAAAUUGAAUCAUUAAAUAGUUUUACACAUUUAAAGAUAACAACAAAAAAUAAAUAUGAUUUAUGCAAAGUGUUUGUUGGUACUAAUGCUGGCAAUUUAGGCCCACUUUUCACUGACCCACCCAAAUAGCCCAACAAAUAUGGGUUGAAAGAGUGAUUUUAAAUAUGGGUAAUAUUUGGGCUUAUACCCAUAUUUUACCCAUUAAAAUUUGGGUAAAUUACGGGUCAUAUAUGGGUAUUGUAAGUUUUCUCCAAACUUUCAAAGAACCGUCUGUUGCCAAGUUUUAGAAGCAAUUUUUCAAGAAAAAAAUUGGGUGUUUCUUCCACGAAUCACAAUCUCAAAGAUAAUUUUGUAAGUCUCUAAAAUUCUCCUCUCUUUAAUCCUUCUUCCUCGUCUUCCCUCUUUCUCUUCCUUUUCUUUUCUUUGAAAUUUAGGGCUAGGGUUUGUGAUUAAUCUCCUGAAAUCUUCUUCUUGUUUCUGAAUUCUAGUUGUGGUAAAUAAUUCCUUAUUUAUAAGAAUUAUGAAUGUAGAGCAGAUGCAUUUUCUUUAUACUUGUACUUUGCUAAGUGAUUUUCUUUACUUUGGGGUCCAUUUUAAUCAACUAAAGUAUGCAGAGCAGAUGCAUUUACUUUGGGGUCCAUUUUUAAUAAUCUCGAUACGAGUUUUUUGAACGAAAAAUAAAAAAUACCAGAAUCCGGUACAAACAAAUAAAACUCUGUUAAAAUUAGUAUUGUCAGUAGCAAAUUUGACAACAGGGUGAAAUUUAAAGAAGUUUCUAGAAGAUUUAGCACAUGAAUAUCUGCUUGCACAUUGUAUUUGUACAAAUUUACGAUCGUCCAAUGAUUUUAUCAUCUGAUGCCACUUUUUCGAAACAAAACAAGUUGUUGCUCUAUGUUUCAGAUUUAGAGAAGAAAAGAUUUCCUAGACGAGUUCAUUCGAUAACUCGGAAAUAUUCCUUCAGACGCCAUAGAUUUGUGAUAAAAUUAUCUUGAGCCUUUGGCGUACAUAAGGUUUUCUUAAUUCGGGGAGUAGAAGGUUUUCUAAACUCUAACUUUGUUUACCCAAUUCUAAUAGGAAAACGAUUUAAAAUACCCUAAACUAUAGAAAACCAUUAAAAAAGAAAAUCAUGUUUUCACUUAUUUUGCUAAAAAUAUCUCUAUAUUCAUCUUUUUGGUUCACUUAUACCCUUUCAGAGUCGCACUCUAUCUUAACAAAGUCCUAAUACCCUAAAACGAAAAUUUUAUAUUACUUUGCAUUUUAUGUGAUAACGUGGAGGUAAAUCCAAUUCAAUUAGUUGUUGUGAUAUACACGUGCCUUUUAUGUAUUUGUGUUUUUCUGUUUAUUUAAAAAAAACAUAUUCUUAUUUUCUUUAUCUUGUAUUUAAAAUAAAUUUAUACACGUACUUUUUUUUCUUUGCUUUAUAUUUAAAUUUUUCUCAAAUACAAAACCUUUUAUAGUUUCUUUGUCUUAUAUAAAAAAAUUUCUCAAACGCACAUUAUUAUUAUUAUUUGCCAUCUUUUUUUUUCAAUUAAUUAUAUUAUUCCUUGUAUUCAACAAUAUAGUUACGUAAAUAUAUACAAUUACUAGCUUAUAUAUGCGGUAGUGGUUUAUUUGUUGCUAUUGUUUAGGAGUUAAGUAUGUUAUUUCUUGGUCUCUAGGCUACACGAUUAAAGGAGUUGUUUAGAUCAGAAUAAUUAGGAGUAAUUUAUGAGUUCCGUUAUUAAUAGUUUUUUUUUUUUUUUUAUCUAUUUAAGAACUUUUAAUUGAGAAAUAAAGUGCACUUCCACUUGCAUAUCAUUUCCCUUUGAUUAAUGUACCACAGGGGAGAUGAAACCCUUUCUAAUAGAAAAAUUAUUUUUCGACGAACAAUUUCAAGAAACAUACUUACUUCAAUCACUUGUAGUACCUUCUUUAACUCCACCAAAAGAUUUCUUCGCAGGAUUGAAUUACUUGAUCCAAAAUCUAGAACUCGACCAUUUCAACGAUAAAAUGAUAGAAAAUCAAAUUGACACUUAUUACGGUGUACAUCAUUUAAGUAUGUUUAAUCAUUUAACAGAUAAUGGAAAUCAUUCCAAUGUACAAAUCUCAAGUGAAUUACCUAUGAAAUUAAAUGAAUCACUUCAAGAAUCAUAUUUAGCUCAACAAUACACUCUUGUGUGAUUUGUUGUUGAGCAAUGCUUAGAUGCUAUCACCUCAAUAGUUGGAUAGCUGAUCUCCUAAAUUUCAACACCUUCACCAAGUUGUUGCACAUCUUCCAUAAAUGUGGCAUGAAGAUCCAUUUGUACAACUUCCAUAAAUGUGGCAUGAAGAUCCAUUUGUAGAGCUUCCAUAAAUGUGGCAUGAAGAUCCAUUUGUACAACUUCCAUAAAUGGGGCAUGAAGAAUUGAAGAUCCAUCCGUCUAAUUUUUGUUCUUCGCCUAAUAAUCUUAUUAAUAGCAUUUACUUUGACUUUUCUCAUGGAUCACAAGCACAUGCCACAAGCAAUAACUGGAAUCUUUAGUAUCAAACUCACUCUCGCUAUGGUGAUACAAAAUUGAGAGAAGAUUUUCUUACAAUAAGAUGUUAGCACGGGUGCGGAACGUGGGACUAUUAGUCCCAUGAACUUUAACAAACCACUUCAAGAAAUAUACUUACCUCAACCCACUAUAGCAAAAUAGGCAUUAGUGGCAAUAGAUUUUUCUUUUAGCUAAAAUAUUUUGUGUCGUAAAAACAUUUAGUCACAACUAAGUUAAUGUUAUUGUAUUCAGUAUGCUAAAUGCAAUAAUAUUAUAAAUAUCUUUAUUUUAUUAUUGACACUAAAUAUAAUAAAGUGGUACUUAUAUUGUUACAGCUAAAUAAUUAUCAAAAAAUUUAUUAUUUGCUUUAGUGACCACCUGCAGUCCCUUAUUUAGUUGAAUCGAAUGAUCUCUUCACAGGGUUGAAUGGUAGGAACCAACCACCAGAACUCGACAAUUUCAAUGUACUAAAUUUGAAUGAGUCUCCUAUGAUCUUUAACAAAUCACUUCAAGAAGAAUACUUACCUCAACCACCUGCAGUACCUUCUUUGGUUCCACAUAAUGAUUUCUUUGCAGGUUGACGGGUAGAACCAACACAUAGAACUCGACAAUUUCAAUGUACUAAAUUCAAAUGAGUUCCUAUGAACUUCAAUGAACCACUUCAAGAAGAAUACUUACCUCAACCACCUGCAAUACCUUCUUUAAUUCAACCGGUAAGAUUUCUUCUCACACGGUUAAAUGGUUGGAACCAAGAUCUGGAACUUGACCAUUUUGAUGUACUAAAUUCAAAAAGUUCCCUAUAAAAUUUAACGAACCACUUCAAGAAGCACACUUAUCUCAACAACCUACAAUACCUUGUUUAGUUCCACUAAAUGAUCUCUUCACAUGGUUGAAGGACACUUACAGAUAAGUUUGGAGAGAGUUAUGGUAUAAAUAUGAAUGCGUUUAGAACAUAUCUCUUUCAAACAAGGAAACCAACUAAAAUAGUCCUCAUUAAUAGUGCAACAUUUUAAAUGCAGAAUGGUUAAUAAUCUCGAUUCAAGAUUUACGAACGAAGAAUAAAAAAUACUAGAAUCUGGUACAAGCAAAUAAAACUCUGUUAAAUUAGUAUUGUCAGUAGCAAAUUUGAAAACAGGGUGAAAUUUAAAUAAGUUUCUACAAGAUUUAGCACAUGAAUUUCUGCUUGCACAUUGUAUUUAUACAAAUUUGUGAUCGUUCAAUGAUUUUAUCAUCCGAUACCGCUUUUUCGAAACCAGACAAGUUGUCGUUCUCUAUUUCAGAUUUAGAGAAGAAAGGAUUUCCGAGAAGAGAUCAUUCGAUAAUGUGGAAAAUAUUUCUCUAGAUGCCAUAGAUUUGUUACAAAAUUAUGUUGAGGGCUUUGGUGUACAUAUCUAUAUAAGGAUAAUCAACUAAGAAGAAGAAGGCUUUCAAAACUCUAAGCUCUAAUUAUUUAGAGUUGUUCAAAACCGAACCGAAACCGAUAAUCCAAACCAAAAAAAAGUCAUUGGUUCAUUGGUAAUGGAUUAUUGGUUUAACAGUUUUGAUUAUUUUUUAGUAUCGGGUUAUCGGUUCUUAGCGGUUUGAGAUUUUUUCUUAACGGGUUAACCGAUAACCCGAUAGCAAAUUAAUAAAUUAAAUUUAUACCAUUUUCGUAUAUAAAAACCUUGACUUAGAAUUUAGUUUCAUAUUUUUAUUUCGGAAAAAGGGUUAAAAAUUCCCCUUAAUUUUAUUUUAUUGUUUGACUUUUCCCUUGCCGUUAAAAUGAAGUUAAAUUUACCCCUACCAUUACUAAUUUCACCAUAUAUACCCCUCAUUUGACGGAAACCCCCAAAUUGACUCAAAUUAACCAAUUUUUACUUAAAUUAGCCAAUUUUUACUUAAAUUACCCAAUUUUAACCCGACCCACCUAAUAAUAUUACCCAUUUUUGUUCUAUCUUGUUGAUCUUCAUCUUUAAACUUGGGUUCCUUUUCAAAAACAACCUGUAAACAAUCUAUUUGAAAACACCCAUCAAACAAUUACCAAAAUCCACCAGCUCCAGCGAAGAGCGACCACUGCCAUUCCCCUCGCUUUUCCCCUUUUAUGUUUUCUUCUACUUUAUAGGUGUUUUUGGAUCAACCUCCGGUGAACAAUGACCAUGAACUCCGGCGAGGCUCUGCAAAUCAACAACCACCACAACCUCUCUCCCAACGCCAAAAUCAACAAACCCAUUUCUUGAACCAGUUAACAACACCAACACAGCUCCACGACCGAGCUUCAUCCCAUUUUCCGGUGACCCUCUGUUUGCUUUCCAUUCUAAUAAUCUAUUAUGAUUUAUUUUUCUUUUAUAUUUUUCACUCUUUUCUUUGUGUUUCAGAUUUGGUUAGGGAGUUCAAGCUCGAAUAAUUUUUCAUUUUUUCAUAUUUCUUGUUCAAGUUUGUCAUUGAUUGUAUGCUAUUAAACUUUGUUGUGGAUUAGUUUAUUUUUUGGUUUGAUAUUAUUAUUUUUCGAGGACCACUUUAACCAUGACAUUACGGACACUAAUACCAGUAGGCAGAAACUUGCAUAGGGGACCCAAUUGUUGCACCAAAUUGCUCUCUGUUUCGGAGUUUAAGAACAAAGAAUUUUCUUGACUUUUGUGGGUAGGCUAACCUGCUUUUUAUAUUCUUCCUUAAUAGUAACUCUAUGAAUGAUAUCAAGAGGCUAUGGACGCUAUGAGUCGUAACUCUGUUGAGAGGACAUAGAUUAAGAAAUAACCAUAACCAUGGUUACACAGAUUUCAAAAGCGGAAAGCUAGAAUUCUAUCUAGUGGUAAAGUGGUAGGUGAUCCAGGCGUGUGGAAUGUGGUGAAUGCUAGAAAUCCCAGCAAAAAUAAGGCUGCAUCUUGCUCAACCUUACCUACGGUGGAAAAUAGGUUUAAAGUGCUAGGAGAAUCAUUUCACAACCAUGCAGUUUAAGCAUCUAGCAGCACCAACAGUAACACAAAUGAGAAGAAUGUUGAAAAUUGAUAAAACAAAAGGUGAAAGAAUGAUCCAGCAGGAAUAAUCAGCUAAAGCUUG